AGUGAACGCUGGCGGUAGGCCUAACACAUGCCAGUCGAACGGCAGCACAGUAAGAGCUUGCUCUUACGGGUGGCGAGUGGCGGACGGGUGAGGAAUACAUCGGAAUCUACUUUUUCGUGGGGGAUAACGUAGGGAAACUUACGCUAAUACCGCAUACGACCUACGGGUGAAAGCAGGGGAUCUUCGGACCUUGCGCGAUUGAAUGAGCCGAUGUCGGAUUAGCUAGUUGGCGGGGUAAAGGCCCACCAAGGCGACGAUCCGUAGCUGGUCUGAUAGGAUGAUCAGCCACACGGGAACUGAGACACGGCCCAGACUCCUACGGGAGGCAGCAGUGGGGAAUUUUGGACAAUGGGGGCAAGCCUGACCCAGCCAUCCCGCGUGGGUGAAGAAGGCCUUCGGGUUGUAAAGCCCUUUUGUGGGGAAAGAAAAGCAGAGGGCUAACACCGCCCUUUAAGGACGGUACCUAAAGAAGAAGCACCGGCUAACUUCGUG
rnacentral:rRNA from 1 species